CACGUAGGGUGCGAGCGUUGUCCGGAAUUAUUGGGCGUAAAGAGCUCGUAGGCGGUGUGUCGCGUCGGCCGUGAAAACCUGCAGCUUAACUGUGGGCUUGCGGUCGAUACGGGCAUCACUGGAGUUCGGCAGGGGAGACUGGAAUUCCUGGUGUAGCGGUGAAAUGCGCAGAUAUCAGGAGGAACACCAGUGGCGAAGGCGGUUAGCUGGCCUGUAACUGACACUGAGGCGCGAAGGCUAGGGGAGCGAACAGG
rnacentral:rRNA from 1 species